AGCUGCAAUGAAAGCUUCAGACGCACAUUACUAUUGAGUCUAUGCCAUCUGAUUGUCAAGCUUCAUCAGAGAUCCAUUCCCACCCACAGGAUUCCCAUAGUCCAUAAUAAGAUCAAACUUGAACUUCCUCCUUGUCAACUGACACCUCAACUACCCAUCUUGAGGAAGAACAGAAGAGGAAAGGAGAAGUGGGAAAGGCAACAAAUGAAUAGAUGGUGUGAAUUUGUCAUAUCCUUUACCUCACUUGUAGCUGUCACAAUUAGAUACGCUGCGGUUUCAACAACGCUGUUUAUCUCGUGCAUCAACUACUGAGUGGGGGUCACUUUCUUAAGCUAGAAGUGAAAACCACUCUAGCAGCACCAUGCAAGAUUACAUUACCUUAACAAAUAACAAUAGCUUUUGCUCUCAUUCUAUAGUAUGCGGGCAAUGUAUGUCUAUGUGGACAAAUUGUUGCAGCUAUUGAGCUGUCUGUAUCUGUCUGACCUGUUCAAAGGUUGUGUUUUCCCUACAGAUGGAUUAGGGCUAUGUACGUACAUGCAUAGAUAACUGAUCUCAGGACAGGUUUAUCUGGAAGUGUUAGCCUUUAGCACUGUUUCUUCACUGCUGAUUGCAUUGACAGUGAGAAGAUAGCAUAUCCAAUCCAUAGGCGUAGCCUGAUUUGUAUUAGUAGGCUAUUCCCAGCCACCUCUCAUUUAGAGUAAAUGGCAAACUGAAAAGCAUAUGAACUUGGUAGCAUAUAGGGUUACAAAGCUACUGGUAAAUUUACCAAAGUUACCGUAAUAUUCAGUAAUUUUAGUAAUUAACAGAAAAUGAUGGCAAUCCAGCAUAACUUUAUUAUAUCUGUGUGUACAUAUUGUCCAUGAGUUUCUAGUUGAUAGACCAUAUGGUUCAUGUGAAAAUAGCCUAAAUAAUGGAAAAAUAAUCUAAUUAACAAGGGCUUCAUUUUCAAUUAACUCUGCAACUCUUCCAACUAUUGACUUUUUUCACAACUGCCACCAGUUUGAUGCCAAAGCAUUGACACCUACAUAUUGACAUAGUAAAAUAAAUGUUUGUAAACAUUUUUUUAUUUAUAAUUAAAAAGGGUAUUUCAUGCUGAAACUCUCAUAUUAAUCACCAAUGGUAUUCAAGUU
rnacentral:lncRNA from 1 species